AGAUCUUUCAGAUGUCUGAUAGACAGCAACUUGCCAAUUUCCCAAACCCAUUUUUAAUUUUUAAACAUCUCAUGCUAUACUAUUAAACCAUUCCAUGGCAAGUGUACUUUGAUAACCUUUGGUAGGUAAACUGAACGGUACCUCAACCAAAAAACAGGCUGACCGAGGUCAAAUUAAGUUGUGAUGUUACCUGCCUCAUCCUAAGUCCUAAUAUUGCAGCACCCCACGGUUUGAUACCUUAAGUCAUUCCGACAUAAAUGACACACAGUCCCAUCAGGC